GCUAUUUAGGUAGCGCCUCGUGAAUUCAUCUCCGGGGGUAGAGCACUGUUUCGGCAAGGGGGUCAUCCCGACUUACCAACCCGAUGCAAACUGCGAAUACCGGAGAAUGUUAUCACGGGAGACACACGGCGGGUGCUAACGUCCGUCGUGAAGAGGGAAACAACCCAGACCGCCAGCUAAGGUCCCAAAGUCAUGGUUAAGUGGGAAACGAUGUGGGAAGGCCCAGACAGCCAGGAUGUUGGCUUAGAAGCAGCCAUCAUUUAAAGAAAGCGUAAUAGCUCACUGGUCGAGUCGGCCUGCGCGGAAGAUGUAACGGGGCUAAACCAUGCACCGAAGCUGCGGCAGCGACGCUUAUGCGUUGUUGGGUAGGGGAGCGUUCUGUAAGCCUGCGAAGGUGUGCUGUGAGG
rnacentral:rRNA from 1 species